CAGUCGAAAGCCAGUAGAAACGUUCAUGUUUUAUGACGUCACGGUGAAGGAAUGCAGCGUGGAACUUGUAAGUUAUUUUACUUAUUAGUAAACUUUAUUUAGUUUGACAAAUUGCCCAAGGCCCGCCAAACACAAAACAAGCUUUUGACAAAGGGAGAAGUUCUAGGGUGAGGCGGUAAAACCGAUGUUUUUUGAAAACCGAAUUACUCGAUGUUACUUUUGGAGAAAGACCGGAAAACCGAAAAAACCGGAGGAAAACCGAAAUCGAACCAUACUUAUCGGGUCUGUUGCAAAUGAAUCAACUUUGGCAUUUACACACGAAAACUAAAG